rnacentral:tmRNA from 2 species
GGGGCUGUACCGGUUUCGACGGGGGUGUGGAGGCCGGAUUAGCGGGCGGUGGCGCCUGGCCACCAUAAAACGGGCAACUUAAAAAUUAACUGACAACAAUCGUAUUGCUGUCGCUGCCUAACUAAAGGCAGCCGUCUGAACCGGGAGGGCCGCAGACCGGGGAAGGCGUCGUUUAUGCGGCGGACGUGCGGCGGGUAAGAGUUGCCCCGCCCAUGCAUCAUGACUCUACCAACCGGCAAAGUCCGUCAGGUGUCUUUGCCGCGCGGGAAUGUUGAAUCCUGACUGCGCCCGGAGAAUAUCUUGUCAAAGCACUUUCGGACAGGGGUUCGACUCCCCUCAGCUCCACCA